UACGUAGGGGGCAAGCGUUGUCCGGAUUUAUCGGGCGUAAAGAGCGUGUAGGCGGCUUUGCAAGUCCGUUGUGAAAACUCGAGGCUCAACCUCGAGACGCCGGUGGAAACUGCAAAGCUAGAGUCCGGAAGAGGAGAGUGGAAUUCCUGGUGUAGCGGUGAAAUGCGCAGAUAUCAGGAAGAACACCCGUGGCGAAGGCGGCUCUCUGGGACGGUACUGACGCUGAGACGCGAAAGCGUGGGGAGCGAACAGG
rnacentral:rRNA from 1 species